rnacentral:lncRNA from 1 species
CGUGCACAAGCUGCCAGAAUGGAGGCCCCAUUCUCAAUGUGGGGGCUGCCCAAAGAGCAGGGAGCUUCCCACAGGACAGAGGCUGGGCACCUGCUUGGCCUGGUUCUUCCUUUUCCCAGGGCUCCAACACCCACCCCCUCAGGUCCUCCCAAACCCUGCAGGUCCCUGGCCUGGUCCGUCCACACCUACACUCAGGAAUCUCUACACAUCUCUGAGUUGCUGCAUCUGUCUUCAGGCACAGCCCACCAGCCCCCCUGGGUACCCAAAGACACCGCAAAUAUCAGCCAUUCCAGACAACGUCCUCCUCCCGUGUCCCUAUCUCAUGGAGUAAUGCCUCUAAUUCAGCCACACCAAGACCCCACGCUCCACAUCCCCUAGAACUCUCAUCUCCUGUGGCCCAACAUGGCCCUUCCUUUCAGCAGUGGGAUGUGGGAAGGAUCAAGGUCACCCUUGUCCAAAUCCCAUGCAGACAACGGUGUUGGAGUCUUGGGCCCAAAGACCAGCUCCUAGAACCUGCAGGGAAGCAACGGCACGUUCCAUCUCUCCCCAUGCCACUGAGGAAUCAUUGGUGGCAGGAUUCUCAGCAGGCAUGGCCGUGGGUGCACAGAACAGAGAAAGGAUGGCCUGGACCACACACAUCACUGUGUGCAGAUGCUUUCCUAGACACUGCAGCCAAGGACACAGAGGCUCAGAGAGUCUCACUGUUUUCCAGGCUGGAGUGCA